GUCAGCUCAGCAUUCAGAAGCCACAAGCUGAUAACUCCUCAAGAAACUACCCUCCCAAGAUAGAGGAGAAGAGAGCACAUGAAAAACAUGGAAAAGCCUUACGGAGGAGCGCCAGAGGGUCUGGAGCACAGCCGAGGCAGCAACAGAUGAUUUCCAUGCUACAGACCUGACCAAGCUAGUGGGCACACAGUAUCAGAUAGCCAACCUGAUUGGACUUACCAGGAUGACGACCCAGGCAGGGACCUCUGGGACUAUAUGAUUGUCUGCCUCAUAGAAGGCUUAAAGAGGAUUUCCCAAAAGACAGUUAAUUUUGACAAG
rnacentral:lncRNA from 1 species